AGGGAUAUAGCUCAGUGGUAGAGCACUUGUCUAGCAUGCACAAGGUCCUAGCUAGGUUCAAUCCCCAGCUGCUCCCA
rnacentral:tRNA from 1 species